UUUCAUUUGAUAAAAACGAAAAUGUUACCACUUAUGUUAUUUUCCCAUGAUGACUGAUGAAAAACAACAGUGAUUACGUUUUUUUUCUUGACGACCAAUAAAAAACAACAGUGUCAACCCUCAUGUUUCAUUUGAUAAAAAACGACAUAGCAUUACGUUUCAAAUUAAAGAUAUUGGGUUUUCCACAGAAAUUGAGCCACGGCCUCCAGUGGGUUAGGCAGAGUGCACCCCACUGCACCACUGAGGCAAUGACAAUACACAAUUAUCAAUAAUCAAUAAAGAGGAUAUACAUGACAUUAAAAUGUAUGUGUGUAUUUCUAUUAUUUCCCUUAUGUUUUUUUCAUGACGACCAAAGAAAAACAACAGUGUUACCCCCUAUGUUUUAUUUGAUAAAUAUCAACAGUGUUACCCCUUUUGUUUUUUUCAUGACGACCAAGAGAGUUGUAAGCACUUUCCACCCUUUUCAGUGGAGGAAUUGGACUCCCCAAGCAAUGUUAUACUUAAAAGGAGCAAGUAAGUUACAUAUUCAUUUAGUCUUUCGGCCUGUAGCAUAUAAACAAAAUGAAGCAACUGUCCCAUAUUUCUAACUGCAUUUGAAGUAGACAUUGAGACUCACAAAAAAUGGACGCUAUAGGACAGUGAUCAUGAUUUGUCUCAGUAUCAGAAUAACAACAAUGGGUCAAAUAGCAAUGGCUGGUUGCUAAAUGUACUGCGUUAUGCUGCGUUCGAGUAUUCUCUGCGAACCGACUCGGAUCAUGGAUCUGACGCCACGCCCACAAUUCAAGCGUUUUAUUAUUUCGCUCGGUCGUUGGAGGACAACAUGGACGCCACCCGGAAAGCUGUUGUCGCGGUAGCAUUGGCAGAGGACCGGCGCUCCAAAAUAGCAGCGUGGUGACCCUGCUUCAACCACAUCUCUGCAAAUCUGCGGGCCGGGAAGGAAGCAACAUCUGGUGCAUUUACAGAGAUGAAAAGCAGAUUGUGCAGUGUGGACACAUUCAUUCUGUUUCUGCCAUCUGUAAGAAUGUGGUUCAUGGCGCUGAAACCUCUUUCACACUCGGCUGUGGACACUAGGAGUGUGGAGACAGCGUAUGCUUGGUACCUUGCCAUGGAGGCACCGUUUGACUUCACUGUUAAAAACAUGCCUGUCCCCAGAAAAUGGUGGUGCACAGUACUGCUUGAGAACUUCCACCUGGAUGGGCACGGCAGAAGGUUCCCACACUUCAUGGAGGAGGCCAAACAAAUGGCGGCUGGACUACUUCCACCAGUCCUCAGACUGAAGCGAAAAAGAGAAGUGAAUGACGUUUCCAGUGACAGAAUACAAAUAAUAUAUUGUAUAGGCUUAACAUUGAUUUGA
rnacentral:lncRNA from 1 species